AUGCAGUUGCUAGUCCAGAAUCAGAAUCAGGGGAACAACAACAACCCACCACCACCACCACCACCACAUGUUGAUCACUUAGCCCGUUUUCUUAGGCUGAAUCCGCUGGUGUUUUCCACUAGGACCGAGCUGAUAGUAGCAGAUGAUUGGCUCCGCAAGACAGCUAGAGAGUUAACCACAACAGGAUGCACAGAUGCGGAGAAGGUGAUGUUUGCCGCACAUCAGCUUGAAGGACCCGCAGCAUCAUGGUGGGAGAAUUUCACAGCCACUUUCCCUGUCGACACUGUCACAUGGGACCAGUUUCAGCAAGCCUUUCGUACUGCUCAUGUUUCAGCAGGAGCUAUGGCCAUGAAGAAGCGUGAGUUUCGCAACUUGCACCAAGGAGGACGGACAGUUGGCCAGUAUGUGGAGGACUUUAGUAAAUUAGCACGUUAUGCCCCAGAUGACGUUGCUACGGAUGCAGCUAAGCAGGAGAAGUUUCUGGAAGGACUGAAUGAUGAGUUGAGCAUGCAGUUUAUGGUAGCAACCUUCAACAACUACCAGGAGUUGGUAGACCGUGCUCUUAUGAUUGAAGGCAAGCAGCAGCAAAUUGAGAACCGCAAAAGGAAGUAUGGACAAGGAAAGUACAAUUCUGGAGCUCAGCAGAAGCCACGUUUUACCCCUAGACCGGAAGGACUUUUUAGCAUACCCAUGGAGGAGGUAGCUCGCACAAUCACAAUGGCACCAAGAAUGGUAAUGGGAAUGGAGGAAGCAAUGGCCAGAACCGCACCAACCUAUCAACCCCAGUCAAGAAAGACCUAA
rnacentral:rRNA from 1 species